rnacentral:lncRNA from 1 species
ACAUUCUCCCCCUGCUCCCGAUGGCGCUCCUGGAAGCUCUGCAACUAUGCUCCACUUCAAAUGGACCCAUAACUGGUGUUACACCCCCACUCCCUGCCACCACAAAUACUGAGUCCAUUCCAGGAAUAGAAACCGCCGAAGGAUUACAUUCUCCACGGAGAACGAUCUCUAUGAAGACAUACAACUGAUGCAUUUUUAUCUUACUGGACCAGGGAAGCAUUAAAGCCAGUGUCUUGGACAGAACAAGAGUCUAGCAUGGCUGUCCUCUGAGAGGCUCCACUCAGCAGCUGACUCAGACUGAUGCAGAAACCCACAGCCAAACUCUGGAUGGAGUUUGGGGACUCUUAUGGAAGAACAGGUUAAAGGAUUGCAGCCUUUAAGGGGAUAGGAACACCACAGGAAGACCAACAGAAUCAACAAACCUGGACCCUUGGGACUCUCAGAGACUGAACCACUAACCAAAGGACAUACAUGGUCUGGACCUAGGUCUCUCUGCACAUAUGUAGGAGGUGUGCAGCUUGCUCUUCAUGACUUCUCCCACUCAUCCCAUGCCUGCCUCAUGGAACCCACCCCUCACACUGUUUAUUGAAGUCUUUUGAUGAGAUUAAGGAACGUCUACCCCCAAAUAUGGCACCUUGACACAGUUUAAAGCUGGAAAGAACUGAAGCCACAGCAGCGGCCACACCUUUCAAAGGCUUAGGACUCAGGUGGUUGGUGCCCUGCUCUGUGCUGAAACAUGUGAAUGUACCACCAGAGUCCAGGAAGAACCUGAGUGAGCAGGCCUUACCGAAGUCCUCCUAGUUAUAAGGUCACCCUUUUGUCCAUUCAUGCUUCUGUAUUGCAUGCUCCUCACCAAGCCAAGAUGCAGGCUUCCUCUUUUGCUGUUUAGGUUUGAUACGUCCAAACAGGAAAACAACGUUCCCAGAAGUAGAUUAACCAGUCAGGUGGAAAAAUCUCUACAAUGAAAAGUGCAAAACAUGAAUAAGAGAAAUUGAAAAGGACACACAGAGAUGGCGAGACACCCCAUGAUUAUAAUGAACUAAUAUUGCUAAAGUGACCAUGGCAAUAUUCAGAGGACCUUAUUAAAUUCACUGUAAUAGCUGUCAAAAUAGCAGUGAAACAACAAGAAAAACAAUGCUAAAUUUAUAUAGAAGAACAACAACAAAAUCUAUUGCUAGUCAAAAACCAUUUUAGGAAACUGAAUACGACAAGAGGCAGUAGACUACCUGCCAUUGAAACAUGCUGUUGAGCUAUAAUCACAAAAACAGCCUGUCAAGUGGUAUUCAAAACAGGCAAAAAGAUAAAUGAAGCAGAAGUAAUCUUAGAUGGAGAGCUGUGAACAUACAGACAGCUAAUUUUGAAGAAUGUCUAGCAACAUGAGUUGCUGAGUGAAGAGAAGUGGUCCAGGAAAAAUUGGGUAUCCACGUGCAAAAGAAUGAAAGCAGACCUCUACCUCUAACCAGUACAGAAAGCAACUCAAAUUGGAUUAAAAUGUAUGUAUUAGAGAUGAAGCUAUUAAAGUCAUA